CAGCCAGCACCGGCCAGCCAGCACCGGCCAGCCAGCACCGGCCGUUUGCACCGGCCAGCCAGCACCGGCCAGCCAGCACCGGCCAGCCAGCACCGGGGCCUGGGCGGGCGCUGUCCCGGGGCGGUGGUGCUGAUCCUGCCCUUGGAGGACUCCAGGGGUCGCGGCCCUGACCCGCCUGCUCCGCCUUGCGGUGGCGUAGGGCAGCGGUGGCGGGGAGGCUCCUGAGUUAGAGGGCUGGGAUGUGUUCCUGUGAUGGUCCGGAGGUUAAAGUAAUAUCAAAAAUAAGGGUUCUGCGCCCCUGGGAUGGAAUCAGAGGCGAGGAGCUUGGGAAGCUGAGGAAGAGGAGGCAGCAGGAGGUGUGGGAAGCAGAGGGCCCACAGCUGCCCUGUCUGGAGGGCCAGGCUGGAGGGAAGGGACCCUGGGGAAGGAUCAGUCCCAAAAAUGGGUUAGAACACUAA
rnacentral:lncRNA from 1 species